rnacentral:rRNA from 1 species
UACGAAGGGGGCUAGCGUUGCUCGGAAUCACUGGGCGUAAAGCGCACGUAGGCGGACCUGCAAGUCGGGGGUGAAAGCCCGAGGCUCAACCUCGGAACUGCCUUCGAUACUGCGGGUCUCGAGUCCGGGAGAGGUGAGUGGAAUUCCUAGUGUAGAGGUGAAAUUCGUAGAUAUUAGGAAGAACACCAGUGGCGAAGGCGGCUCACUGGCCCGGUACUGACGCUGAGGCGCGAAAGCGUGGGGAGCAAACAGG